rnacentral:rRNA from 1 species
GAUGAACGCUGGCGGCGUGCCUAAUACAUGCAAGUCGAGCGAACAGACGAGGAGCUUGCUCCUUUGACGUUAGCGGCGGACGGGUGAGUAACACGUAGGUAACCUACCUAUAAGACUGGGAUAACUUCGGGAAACCGGAGCUAAUACCGGAUAAUAUUUCGAACCGCAUGGUUCGAUAGUGAAAGAUGGCUUUGCUAUCACUUAUAGAUGGACCUGCGCCGUAUUAGCUAGUUGGUAAGGUAACGGCUUACCAAGGCAACGAUACGUAGCCGACCUGAGAGGGUGGUCGGCGACAUUGGAACUGAGACACGGUCCAGACUCCUACGGGAGGCAGCAGUAGGGAAUCUGCCGCAAUGGGCGAAAGCAUGACGGAGCAACGCGGCGUGAGUGAUGAAGGUCUUCGGAUCGUAAAACUCUGUUAUUAGGGAAGAACAAACGUGUAAGUAACUGUGCACGUCUUGACGGUACCUAAUCAGAAAGCCACGGCUAACUACGUG